rnacentral:lncRNA from 1 species
UAUUGAUCCGAUCCGUUUAUGAUCCGAUCCGACCUAAUUGCCACCCCUAGCAUGCAGCCUAAAAUUUUAAUUAAAAACUAUAUACGGAUUAAACAGGUUGGGCGGGAUGAAAAAUUUAAAUUCAAACCCAACCUGUUUAAUAAAUGGGUUAAACAUGUUGAUUUGUUUACGAUUUGAAUUCGUUUAUGUCAAAUUCAAAUCUGUUUAAGAU